GAAUAUACAACCCUCUCUCGACAUCAGCAUGUGUACUGCCGUUGUAAGCAUACCUCUAAAAGAAAGUGUGCCGCUAUGACUUAACAACUCAUAUACAUCAGGUCAAAGUGCAGCCUAUAAGAAGGCGACGAUGGGUUACAACCCAAAAAUAGACUAUCAACUAAGAAAUAAAAAAUCUUACGAAAGUGGACUUGGCCGUAAUCAAUUUACAAGUUAAAAAAAUGAAUAAAUACCUAAGACAUGCACACAUCGCCCGUCACUCUACCCUAAAGGCUAGAUAAGUCGUAACAAAGUAGGUGUAAUGGAAAUUGCACCUGUCGGGGUAUAGCAUAUAUAAUGCUUUUUACUUACACUAAAAAUAAAGUUAAUACUUACGCCGCCCACACAACCAACCCCUAAAACCUAAAUCUAUAAUACAAAUAAUUAAACAAUUAAGCACACUAUGAAGUACAGAAAUGGAAAUAAUAAUAAAUAACAGUAACUCUUAGCAACUAUACCUUGUGCAUUAUGGUUUUACAAGAAAUUAGUUAAAUACACAAUCCCGAAUUCUAAGUGAGAUGUUAAACUGCUGUUAAGAACCCACUAGUAACUGUAAAAAAAGCUUUAAAAGACAGUUUGACAGAGGCUACAUACCAUCCGCAUAAGAAUAUAGCUGGUUUUCAACAAACAUUAUACAUUAAAACAUAUAAUUUAUAUUAUAGUGUAAUAUUAUUGAGGACAAGCCCAGUAAUCUAAACAAUAUAACACCAAACCGUUCUUUUCCCCUAGGCUUAAUAUCAGCCAAUAAAAAUACUUUACCGUAACAUAAAUAGGUAUAAUAAAUAAUACUUCCAUGUAGAAAAAAGUUGAAACAGUGGGUAAUUUACUCUUACCUGCCUCUACUAUGUAAAAAUAAGUAUUAAUAAAUAUAAGCAUCAAAUAACCAGAACUAAUAAUAAAUUUAUAAAUAAUAGCUAAUUAAGGAACUCGGCAAACUACUAUUUCGACUGUUUAACAAAAACAUUGUCUCAUGGAUAACAUAUGAGAUAA
rnacentral:rRNA from 1 species